GACGAACGCUGGCGGCGUGCCUAAUACAUGCAAGUUGAAUGCAACAAAGACACCAGAGCUUGCUCUACCGUUUUGUUGAGUAGCGAACGGGUGAGUAACGCGUGGGUAACCUGCCUUAUAGCGGGGGAUAACUGUUGGAAACGAUAGCUAAUACCGCAUAACAAUAGAGAUUGCAUAAAUCUUUAUUUGAAAGUGCCAACUGGUACACUAUGAGAUGGACCCGCGUUGUAUUAGCUAGUUGGUAGUGUAAUGGACUACCAAGGCGAUGAUACAUAGCCGACCUGAGAGGGUGAUCGGCCACAUUGGGACUGAGACACGGCCCAAAUCCUACGGGAGGCAGCAGUA
rnacentral:rRNA from 1 species